rnacentral:rRNA from 1 species
AUUGAACGCUGGCGGCAUGCCUUACACAUGCAAGUCGAACGGCAGCACGGGAGCAAUCCUGGUGGCGAGUGGCGAACGGGUGAGUAAUAUAUCGGAACGUGCCCGGUCGUGGGGAUAACGUAGCGAAAGCUACGCUAAUACCGCAUACGAUCUACGGAUGAAAGCGGGGGAUCGCAAGACCUCGCGCGAUUGGAGCGGCCGAUAUCAGAUUAGGUAGUUGGUGNGGUAAAGGCUCACCAAGCCGACGAUCUGUAGCUGGUCUGAGAGGACGACCAGCCGACACUGGGACUGAGACACGGCCCAGACUCCUAC